rnacentral:rRNA from 1 species
GGCUCAGAACGAACGCUGGCGGCAGGCUUAACACAUGCAAGUCGAACGCUCCGCAAGGAGAGUGGCAGACGGGUGAGUAACGCGUGGGAAUCUACCCAUCUCUACGGAAUAACGCAGGGAAACUUGUGCUAAUACCGUAUACGCCCUUCGGGGGAAAGAUUUAUCGGAGAUGGAUGAGCCCGCGUUGGAUUAGCUAGUUGGUGGGGUAAAGGCCUACCAAGGCGACGAUCCAUAGCUGGUCUGAGAGGAUGAUCAGCCACAUUGGGACUGAGACACGGCCCAAACUCCUACGGGAGGCAGCAGUGGGGAAUAUUGGACAAUGGGCGCAAGCCUGAUCCAGCCAUGCCGCGUGAGUGAUGAAGGCCCUAGGGUUGUAAAGCUCUUUCA